AUACGGAGGGAGCAAGCGUUAUUCGGAAUCACUGGGCGUAAAGGACGCGUAGGCGGGUUUGUAAGUCAGGUGUGAAAUCCUACAGCUCAACUGUAGAACUGCACUUGAAACUACAGACCUAGAGUAUGGAAGGGGCAGAUGGGAUUAGUGGUGUAGGGGUAAAAUCCGUAGAUAUCACUAGGAAUACCGAAAGCGAAGGCGAUCUGCUGGGACAUUACUGACGCUGAGGCGUGAAAGCGUGGGGAGCAAACAGGAUUAGAAACCCCGGUAGUCC
rnacentral:rRNA from 1 species